CCUACGGGGGGCAGCAGUGGGGAAUAUUGCGCAAUGGGCGAAAGCCUGACGCAGCGACGCCGCGUGGGGGAUGAAGGUCUUCGGAUUGUAAACUCCUGUUAAAUGGGAAGAAAGCCCUAUCUUUAAUACAGAUAGGGGAUGACGGUACCAUUAGAGAAAGCACCGGCUAAUCUCGUGCCAGCAGCCGCGGUAAUACGAGAGGUGCUAGCGUUGUUCGGAAUUACUGGGCGUAAAGGGUGCGUAGGCGGCUUGUUAAGUCUGCUGUUAAAUAUCUCGGCCCAACCGAGAAACAGCGGCGGAUACUGACAGGCUAGAGGAUGGAAGAGAGAAGUGGAAUUCUCGGAGUAGCGGUAAAAUGCGUAGAUCUCGAGAGGAACACCGAUGGCGAAGGCAGCUUCUUGGUCCAUUCCUGACGCUGAGGCACGAAAGCGUGGGGAGCAAACAGGAUUAGAUACCCCUGUAGUC
rnacentral:rRNA from 1 species